rnacentral:rRNA from 1 species
GCACCCGUCUUACCCAGCCCUUACUCCUCCUGCGUUUUAGGCAAGAGAACAGCGUACGCAAAGCGCACGCACUGGGAGUUCCCCCGUCACGCUUGCGCGUAUUGCGGAGUUUUCGCGCCUGGUGCACCCCGUAGGG